rnacentral:rRNA from 1 species
GUCGAUCUGCUCCAUGAAAUUAAUUUAAAUAGCUGCAGUAUAUUGACUGUACAAAGGUAGCAUAAUAAAUUGUCUUUUAAUUGAAGAAUUGAAUGAAUGAAUUGAUGAAAUAACAACUGUCUCUAUAUUAUUUAAUGAAUUUAAAUUUUUAGUUAAAAUUCUGAAAUUUAAUUAUGGGACGAUAAGACCCUAUAGAAUUUUAUUUAAUAUAAUUAUUUAUUUAAAUUAUUUGUGAAUAUAUAAUUAAUUUAAAUUUGAUUGGGAGGAUUGGUAAAUAAAAAUAACUUUAUCUAAAAAUUAAUUUUGAUGAAAAGAUUUUUUUUUGACUUAUAAUUUAUGAUUAAAAGAAUAAAUUACCUUAGGGAUAACAGCGUAAUAUCUUUUGAUAGACCACAUUGAUAAAGAUGUUUGCGACCUCGAUGUUGAAUUAAGAGAAAAGUUAAACGCAGGAGUUUAAAAUUUUAAGUCUG